rnacentral:rRNA from 1 species
ACAUGAAANUCNAGCCACCAUCUUCGGUUCCUAGCGGCGGACGGGUGAGUAACACGUGAGCCACCUACCUCACAGUGGGGGAUUGCCUUCCGAAAGGAAGAUUAAUCCCCCUUAACACAAAGGAAACGCCUGUUUCUUUUGCCAAANAAUUUCNNUGUGAGAUGGGCCCGCGGCCUAUUAUCUUGNUGGUGAAGUCACNGCUCCNCGGUGACACGAUGCCUCCCCNACCUGAGAGGGUUAUCCGCCCCAUUGGAACUGAGACGCG